CAUCGAUUGGCAGAGAGGAUGUAGCACAUACAGAGGAGAUGGAGCAUAAAAUUAGGCGGACUGAUUCAGAGGUUUGUUUUGAUUUUUUAAAUCAUUUAUUAAAAAUAAAAAUGUGGGCGCGUACGUGUGGGGAGGGGGAACAAGAUUUCCAACGCGAAGAGGCUGUCGGCAGACGAUGUACAUACACAUGAAAGCGCGCUCUCUAAAUCUCCCAAGAACUAAAUGUACAGAAAUGUGCAGUUAUCGUGGAACUCGCCCGGAGAAGGCAGCCUCGGGAGUUGAAGACGAUCCUGACCCUGCAAGAGGAAAGCAAACGACUGGACAGGAACUUCCUGCGACUGCCAGAGGAACUUCCUCGGCCGCGGGUCCAGAAACGCUUGGCCAGUGCCCGCCCGCAGGGGUCCCGGCGAGUCCCCGCGCUCGCUCCUCCACGGCGGGAAGGCUCCCGCGAGCUCUCCGUGGCCCGAGGGCUCGGUCCGCGGCUCCCGCAGGCCCGGGGAUUGGCUGCCUCUCGCAGCUGAGGUUCAGCUCUGGAGCAGCCGUGCUCAACCUCAUUCCCUCUGAUGCUCUCCCCGAUACUAAAUCUUUUCCCCCUUACCAACUGGGCUUUGUUAUUUUUUACGUAGUUAUCUGCUGGGGAUCCGUUGAUACUCAGAUAAACUCACUCCUGCCUUUGUAUUCCUGCCUCUUUAAACCCCAGAAAUAUUGGUUGCCCCCUUCAGGGAUAAGGCGUUCCUCAGCCUACCCGCAGCCUGUCCCGUCGAGGCAGUCUCGGAGCCAGAUGGGGGUCUCUUGUGACCCAGCAACAGUUAAUCAGAGACAGCUAGGUUUGGAGUGACUGGCUGCUUUCGUUGGACGGAUUUGUGUAUGUUUUAUGACUUUCUUUUAUCGUGCAGCAAAGGAAAACACCCAGUGUUUUAAGAAAACUUAUUAUUCUCUUCCUCGGGGACACGAGUUCCAGUCCUGGACACUUUGCUUUCUCCUUCUGUUCUUUCCCUACCCGUGUCCAGUUUCUUAACUAUCCUUUGCCCUUGAUCUUUUCCCAAACUGCCCGGCCCCAGGUUGCCCUGGCCCCUCCUACGAUUUGCUCCUCUCUUUAAUUUGUCUUGUAUGUUAGCCCUGGGUCAACGAGCCUUUUGUGCAUGGUCCUGGGCCAGUGUGCAUGUGUGUAGUGUGUUUCUUUUGUUAUUUUUCUCCUCCUAACACUGUAGAAAUGAAACACACAUGCAGCUCUGUCGCCUCAUAUUUUCAGAUGUUUUUCACACUAUUGUCUGCUCCAGCCUGUUGAAAGUGCAAAGUGAAAACAGAUGCACCACCCCCCCCCCAUUUUUUUUUGAAAGGGGACAAUCCUAGGAUGGGGACUAACCUCUCAAAUAAAGAUAAGCAAUAAAUAUAAUAUCA
ensembl:lncRNA